rnacentral:rRNA from 1 species
CAGCAGCCACGGUAAUACGUAGGGUGCAAGCGUUGUCCGGAAUUAUUGGGCGUAAAGAGCUCGUAGGCGGUUUGUCGCGUCUGCUGUGAAAUCCCGAGGCUCAACCUCGGGCUUGCAGUGGGUACGGGCAGACUAGAGUGCGGUAGGGGAGAUUGGAAUUCCUGGUGUAGCGGUGGAAUGCGCAGAUAUCAGGAGGAACACCGAUGGCGAAGGCAGAUCUCUGGGCCGUAACUGACGCUGAGGAGCGAAAGCGUGGGGAGCGAACAGGAUUAGAUACCCCAGUAGUCCCUGUCUCUUAUAC